CUAGUUCCUAGUUUCAUCUCCUCAUUUUCUCCAUCCUCCUGCUCCUUAUUAAGAUCUGGAUGUUAACAUUGAUGUAGUGUGAAGCUGGGUGGGAUAUUUAAUUCAGCAGUUGGCAGUGUCUGGAUCCACAAUGGUCUCUGAAAGCUGAGAUGCUGCCCUGAGUUUAUCAGGAUGGCAUUUGGCAGAUUGGAGAUAAGUGCAUCUGAAUUGAGACACAUAGCUUCCCUCAUAUGGUUUUUAUGAAAAUGAAAUGAACAAGUUGCCUUAUUUCAUUUGUUAAUACUAUUGUUUGUCAUGUAGACACUUACGUAGCCGAUAAAUGGUGACUUCUAUUCUGAUACCCUGAAGCAUCCUGAAAGCAAAUGUUCCAUCCUGCUGUUAAGGAGAACUGGCUUCAUCCAAUUAGUCAUACAUGAGUAGGUCUGGGUUUCUCUGGAGAGACAGCUUAGCCUGAGCCCAUUUUACAGAUGGAAACCUGAGGCUCAGAAAGGUUGAGUGCUUUGCUCAGGAUCACAGGGAGGAGUGAUGGGAGGAGCCUCUGCCUCUUUGGGAGACACUGGCCGACAUUCUUCUCUGACAUCAGGCACCCCCUCUGAGGAAUCCACUCAAAAAGGGCAUCAGGAGUGCUGCGGAGCCUGCUGCACCACGUGGUUUGCAUCCUCUUCAUGCGGCAAAGGACCUGGACUUCCAGAAGUCACACAGGGUGGUCUGCAGGGCAAGGCGGGGUGGCGAUAUUCCGCAGGAGCUAGUCAAAAGCUUGUGACAAAAGGGCACGCUGAGGUUUUACGUUCACUUUUCUUGCUUUCUCUCUGAUUUAUCCCAUGCUUUCACUCCAUGAGAGGGUUGGCCUCUCUGUCUCAUCUCCUUGAGAGCUCCUGCAGGAAGUGGCUGGAUGCAGAGCCCGGUUCCCAGGUACCUGAAGUGGCCUGGCACUCCUGAGGGUCAGGAGAAAAAAUGAGUAUGGCAACCAGCAAGGAAGGAAAACUGCCCUCAACCAGGGUGCAAAUGCAGUCGAAUUAAGUCAGAGCUGGCAGGCGGAAACCCUGUGGGCUCUGUGAAUGUGGCAGCUGCUGCUAGAUGCUGACAGAUGCAGGGGCAGGGCUGAGCCGGCGCCUCCAGGACUUUGCCUGUGCCAUCUUACCAUCCCUGAUUGGUGAACUCGCAUUCAUCCAUCAACACCCAGAGAUAAUAUCACCUCGUCAGUGGGACAUUCCUCAGGCAUCCCAGGCAGUCCAUGGUCCAUCCCUGAUCUUGAAGCAUUUCUCCCAAACCACUCAAGUGGGCUUGUCUCCAUCCCAGGCCCUGUUACGAAGAGGUGUUUUUCUCUCUCACUGCAUGUGGAGCAAUACUUCCAUGCUAUUCAUCCUGUUAUCACAGAAUAAAAGAAUGACUGUCUCCCCU